AACCUCUUUGUCUUUGUCUUUCUUUGUGUGUCUUGUCAGUUUGUCUUUUUGCGACGUUUGUUUCUCGCGUUAGCAAGGACCCUUGAUUCAAAGGUAAACUUUUCCCUACAAUUUGCAUUCACAAUUCAAGGUUGCAAAUAUUAGGAACAUUGUGGCUGGAUUCAAGGACAACAAAAUACUGCCCUUUUUGAGUUCAUAGAUUCCGCCCUGAAACAGAGUCAACAAAACAACAGCGCGAAUUCCCAUGAUGCAGUUCGACCAAGCGACGCCAGCCAGACGCCAGGAUCCACCCCUAAACAAUCCUAACCUCUUUGUCUUUGUCUUUCUUUGUGUGUCUUGUCAGUUUGUCUUUUUGCGACGUUUGUUUCUCGCGUUAUUACUAUAUCAGAGUUUUUAGACAUAAAGUAUUCAUAUUGAAGUUAGUUUUUGUCAAUUUUCAAUUUCUUUGUUCAUAGUUAAUUCCAUAGUGUUCGAUUUUAGAAGACUAACUGCAACAAAAGUGCUUGUGAGCCAACGAAACAUAAAGUAGAACCUCGAUAGUUCGACACUCCCUGUAGUUCGACACAGGCCGUGAUGACAAGACAUGGCAUCAGUGGCCAAUGACGGGUUCACCAAGGUUAAAAACUAUAGCAUUCUUAGUGUUUUCGUGCAUGGAAAAACUCAAUAGGAAAAGAGGAGUUAUUGGUGCACAGAAUAGGAACAUCAGGCUGAGGUUAUGCGACAGUAAAUAAUGUAUAAGUAAAAUGUCACUUAAUUUAACUCAUGUUCUAAUUUUCAAGUUUUUGUUUUAUACUUUAUAUUUUCAUAAAAUAAAUUUACUAUAACCAAUG